rnacentral:rRNA from 1 species
UACGGAGGGUGCGAACGUUAAUCGGAAUCACUGGGCGUAAAGCGCGCGUAGGCGGUUUGUUAAGUGGGAUGUGAAAGCCCCGGGCUUAACCUGGGAAUUGCAUUUCAAACUGGCGAACUAGAGUGCGGUAGAGGGAGGUAGAAUUUCCUGUGUAGCGGUGAAAUGCGUAGAUAUAGGAAGGAAGACCAGUGGCGAAGGCGGCCUCCUGGAUCGACACUGACGCUAAGGCGCGAAAGCGUGGGGAGCAAACAGG